ACCCGCUGAACUUAAGCAUAUCAAUAAGCGGAGGAAAAGAAACCAACAGGGAUUGCCUCAGUAACGGCGAGUGAAGCGGCAAAAGCUCAAAUUUGAAAUCUGGCUCUUUCAGGGUCCGAGUUGUAAUUUGUAGAAGAUGCUUCGGGUGUGGUCCCGGUCUAAGUUCCUUGGAACAGGACGUCAUAGAGGGUGAGAAUCCCGUAUGUGACUGGGUACCUACGCUCAUGUGAAGCUCUUUCGACGAGUCGAGUUGUUUGGGAAUGCAGCUCAAAAUGGGUGGUAAAUUUCAUCUAAAGCUAAAUAUUGGCCAGAGACCGAUAGCGCACAAGUAGAGUGAUCGAAAGAUGAAAAGCACUUUGGAAAGAGAGUUAAACAGUACGUGAAAUUGUUGAAAGGGAAGCGCUUGCAAUCAGACUUGCGCCUAGUUGAUCAUCCGGGCUUCUGCCCGGUGCACUCGAUUAGGCUCAGGCCAGCAUCGGUUUGGGUGGUUGGAUAAAGACUUGGGGAACGUAGCCUCCUUCGGGGGAUGUUAUAGCCCCAGGUGCAAUGCAGCCUACCUGGACCGAGGACCGCGCUUCGGCUAGGAUGCUGGCGUAAUGGUUGU
rnacentral:rRNA from 1 species